rnacentral:rRNA from 1 species
CCUACGGGAGGCUGCAGUCGAGAAUCAUUCGCAAUGGGGGAAACCCUGAUGGUGCGACGCCGCGUGGGGGAAUGAAGUUCUUCGGAUUGUAAACCCCUGUCAUGUGGGAGAAAAUUAAAAAGAUAGUACCACAAGAGGAAGAGACGGCUAACUCUGUACCAGCAGCCGCGGUAAUACCGAGGGCGCAAGCGUUGUUCGGAAUCACGGGGCGUAAAGCGUGCGUAGGCGGUUUCGUAAGUCGUGGGUGAAAGGCGCGGGCUCAACCCGCGGACGGCCCAUGAUACUGCGAGACUAGAGUAAUGGAGGGGGAACCGGAAUUCCAGGUGUAGCAGUGAAAUGCGUAGAUAUCGAGAGGAACAUUCGUGGCGAAGGCGGGUUCCUGGACAUUAACUGACGCUGAGGAACGAAGGCCAGGGGAGCGAAAGGGAUUAGAUACCCCUGUAGUC